UGGGGACUGAGGCAGGGUGACCCUCCCCUCUCCUCCCCUCCCACCAAAUUAUGAAUCAGAUUAAGGAGGCAUCCUUAACCUCAGCUGUCCUCAAAGGAGACGAGCAUACGGAUUCUGUCGCCUGAGCGCCCCCAGCCCCACCUGCCCACAUGACUGAGAAAGCGAGCAUCUGGGGAGCCCCUGCCCCCUCAUCCGGGCUGAGGCCCCAGUCUCUCUCCUGCCCCUCCGUGCGCUUCGUCCUCGGCCCUCUGGUCUCUGUGACCCUGGGAGCUCCUGUCUUGCGCGGGCACUUCCUACCAGCCACCAUUUCCCCAAGACGCCAGGCAGUGGGGCAGGGAGGACCCGGCCUCCUCAGCUCUGUAAUUCUCCCCGCAAAUAAAACAACCUUGGCCAACCACGCUCAGCUGACCGUCCCACCGCGUCCCCGCUGCCCUGAGCUGCUGUGGGGCUACACGUCACCCCAGGCUCUCAUGGGAGGGGGGGCAGGGGACAGGGUGCUGCCAUCAUCCCCCAGAGAGAGAAGCUGGCGGACGACGUGGUCUGGAGCCACCUGUGCUGCGUGGGGACCAGCCUCAAGGACAGAACCCGAGCAGAGCGGGGCCUGCCGUGGACCCGUGAGCAGAACCAAGGGGGCAGCGGGUGAAGGGGGCCCUUCGUCUGUCCCCAGCCCUCAGAAUGACCAGAGGAGCUGAGGAAGCAUGGGGCAGCCAGGGGAGGGGGCCGUGUGAGGGAGGGGCUUUUGCUCAAUGAAGGAAAAGCCAACAGGGCAGAAUGUUCCAGGAGCCAAGACCAGUGAACCGCAUUGCUCUCCUGUCUCUGGGCCACCGAUUACAGGUUUAAGACUUGUCUCCACUUCCUGUCUAGGAUAUGAGGAGGCACAGGGGUUCUCGUGUGUGUGUGUGUGUGUGUGUGUGUGUGUGUGUGUGUGUGUGUGUCUGCACUGGGCUUGGGGGGGUGCGCAUUUUGCUUUCUGCCACCUGCUGUCCUUCCUUGCGGCAGAUGCGUGGUGGCCUCCAACGGAAUGGGGGAGGAGAGGCCCAGAGCAGGGCGGGUCCAGGCCCUCACCCCGGGGAACCCUGGAUACAGGCCCGGGGUCUCCCUCCCAGGAGCUUUCGGGGGGUCCGUGAAAACCCGCUUCUCACUUGCUCCCAAGGCGCAGGCCGAUCCCCAGCCCAGCGGGAAGGAGGAACCACCAGCCCCGGGCCUGCCCCUCACCCUGCCCGGUUUGGGAGACAAAGCAGGUCUCCUCUGACACAAGGAACCGGCUCGCGCUGUCAUGGGGCCUGGGCCCUGUUCAGAGAGGCCACCUCCCCACCCCCCCCGCCCCGCCUCGACAGGGUCCCGUACUGAGGACCCCAUGUACCCUCUGCAGGGCACACGGUGGGUGAACCCGGGACACGGCCACAGCGGGUCCAGAGGACAUAAACUCCCAGGGCGCGUGCCCUGCUCUGCUCUGCAUAAACCAUUUUCUCAACCUUGGCAGUGCGGACAUUUGGGGCUGCCUCGUCUUCCCUUCUGGAAGCUGUCCUGGGUGUUCCAGGAUGCUUAGGACAUCCCCGGCCUCCAGCGGCACCCGCCCCCAGCAGACGCAGUGAACUGUCCCCCGGGGGAGGAAACCGUCCCUGGUUGAGGGUGGCUUCAGGGAGUCCAGAUGUUCUGGCAAAGCUGGGCCCUGCGCUGUGCCAGCGCAGGAAGUACGAGGGUUCCGUGGUGCGAGAGCGCCCUCUGGUGGCCAGGGCCUCCACCGACGCCCGGCGUCGGGGGAGGACUAGGUGUGAGGUGACGGGGCACCUUGGGGUCUUCUCAGAUUAGGGAUUCGCAAUUUCACAUUGUGAAACCCUCCCACUUCAAACCCCCUUGGCUGAUCACGGAGGAGCCCCCAAAGGCUCCGCAGGCCUCAUGUGACAGCAGACAGCAGGUGAGCAGCUCCUUUGGGACAAUCGAGUACAGCCAUCAACCCUGGACCUCACGCUCCCUGGCCGCCUGUGGCCGGAAGGGCACAGAGUGGAUACUCGGCCCUCCUCCAGCAGCAGCGGGAACCAGGACGAGACACGCAAAGUCAGUGCACCAACCAUCCUUCCUCCUGGACGCUCCGUCGCACCAAAAACAGGGACACUCGUGGGUUCGGGCAGGCUGAGGAAUCACAAACCCGAGCUUCACGAAGGCUGGACUGUUGGGAGCCGGAAGGGACCUUUGCGAGAGAGGAAGACACCUGCCCCAAGUCACGCGUGUGGAGGGGCCACGUGUAAAACCAAAGUCCCCCAGGUAUCAGGGACUGUUCAUCCCACCUCACCACAAUCACGUGGACUGAGAGCUUAAGACGCCCCCGAAUCCCGUAGAAACGAGAGUGUAUUACCUACGGAGAAGGAAAUUUUACGUCGUUCCUGCGUGAUUUUUACUAUGGCCGCGGUGGGAUUCGACAACAAAAGCGAGUCAUUUGCUGCCCUGAGCUGUCAGUGGCGGUGAGGUCCUUCCCUCCCCUCCCCCUCUUCGUCCCUAAUGAGGACCCUGCCCAAGAGCGGGGGCAAACGUUCAAGGACCGCGGGUGUUACGUGCACACACACGUGUGCGCGCUCACACGUACGCACACGUACGUACGUACGUAACUCAACAAACGCUGCUUAAACACCUGCUGCGCGCCGAGCACCGUGCUGCCUGUGGCUCGGGUAACCGCCCUGGAGAUACUUUCCUCUGUGAACGUCGGAGCCCCGGACGCCAGGGGGGAGCCGAGAAAGGAGGAGGGUCUUCGGGUGAACCGGGGAGGGGACGGGGCCUUGGCAGUCACCGCGGGAGCUCCGAGCGUGGCGUGCCUGAGGGGCAAGCUUCUUCCUAAUGUUCGACACCUAAUUUAAAGAUCAACUUUGUGGGGCGCCCGGGGCACUCGGUCGGUUAAGCGUCCGACUCCGGCUCAGGUCGUGAUCGGCUCAGGUCGUGAUCUCGCGGUCCGUGAGUUCGAGCCCCGCGUCGGGCUCUGUGCUGACAGCUCAGAGCCUGGAGCCUGUUUCCGAUUCUGUGUCUCCUUCUCUCUGACCCUCCCCCGUUCAUGCUCUGUCUCUCUCUGUCUCAAAAAUAAAUAAACGUUAAAAAAAAAAUUUUUUUUAAA